GACGAACGCUGGCGGCGUGCCUAAUACAUGCAAGUCGAGCGAACAGACGAGGAGCUUGCUCCUCUGACGUUAGCGGCGGACGGGUGUGUAACACGUGGAUAACCUACCUAUAAUACUGGGAUAACUUCGGGAAACCGGCGCUAAUCCCGGAUAAUAUCUUGAACCGCAUGGUUCAAUAGUAAAAGACGGUUUUGCUGUCACUUAUAGGUGGAUCCGCGCCGCAUUAGCUAGUUGGUAAGGUAACGGCUUACCAAGGCGACGAUGCGUAGCCGACCUGAGAGAGUGAUCGCCCACACGGGAAGUGAGACAGGCACCAGACUACUGCGGGAGGCAGCAGUAGGGUAUCUGCCGCAAUGGUCGGAAGCCUGACGGAACAGCGCCGCGUGAGUGAUGAAGGUCCUGGGAUCGUAAAACUGUGUUAUUAGUGAAGAACAAAUGUGUAAGUAACUAUGCACUUCUUGACGGUACCUAGUCAGAAAGCCACGGCUAACUACGUG
rnacentral:rRNA from 1 species